GAUGAACGCUGGCGGCGUGCCUAAUACAUGCAAGUCGAGCGAACAGACGAUGAGCUUGCUCCUCUGACGUUAGCGGCGGACGGGUGAGUAACACGUGGAUCACCUCCUUAUCAUACUGGGAUAUCUUCGGAACUCCGGCGCAUACCCCGGAUAAUCUAUUGAUCCGUAUGGUUGAAUAGUGAAAGUCGGUUUUGCUGUCACUUCUCGCUGCUUCCGCGCCGCAUUAGCUAGUUGGUACGGUCACGGCUUACCACGGCAACGAUGCGUAGCCGAACUGAGGGAGGGGUCGGCCACACGGGAACUGAGACACGGUCCAGACUCCUACGGGAGGGAGCAGUAGGGAAUCUGCCGCAGUGGGCGAAAGCCUGACGGAGCAACGCCGCGUGAGAGAUGAAGGUCUUCGGAUCGUAAAACUCUGUUAUUAGGGAAGAACAAAUGUGUAAGUAACUAUGCACGUCGUGACGGUACCGAAUCAGAAAGCCACGGCUAACUACGUG
rnacentral:rRNA from 1 species